rnacentral:lncRNA from 1 species
UGAAAGCAUUAUUAGCUUUAAUGCUGGAUCCUUACUUCUCAACAUAUAUAGUGCCUGAAUCUAACUACUAGUCUAUAGAAAGAAAAAAAAACAAAAUUUAUAUUUGUAAAUUAACUGAUAUAUGCAACUACAGGACUGCAAAAGAGCAAUCUCUCGUCACAUUUGCGAUUGCCACAGAAGAGACCGAAUAUGCUCAUGUCUCAGAAUGCCCUGUCUNNNNNNCAGCGAAGGACAUGUGGCAUGAAAUUAUACAGGUUAUGGACCUUUAAGAUCUUACUUUUAUGAAAUAUAUAUGUUGAGUUAUUCAUUCUUCCUUCCUUCCUCUCCCAGAUAAGCUUUUAUUGUGUUCUUAGCAUUCUAUAAAAACAAGUACUUAGAAUUUUGUCUCUGUCAUUUUCCUUUUGUUUUGUGUGUCUGACACUCUUCUUAUCAUGAACAUUAUCAGUACUUGAGUCUCCUUGAACAUCACUCUNNNNNNNNNNNNNNNNNNNNNNNNNNNNNNNNNNNNNNNNNNNNNNNNNGUCUCCUUGAACAUCAUUCUUUCAUUAUAUUUUAAGAUUAAAAGUCAAAUUAGAGCAACUUUCUAUCCCAAAUUUGAAAAUGAAAAGUCAGAUCAAGAGGUAUAUGAUUCCUGUCUCAGUUUUUUCUGCUGGAUAAAUUACUUAAUGACUCUAGUCCCUGAAUGUGAAAAAGCUAGUUGUUGCCUUAUAAUUGCCACUCGAGCAAUUAUCUCUAUCGGUGUCCUCUUUUCUACUAAAAAAAUAUGAAUUUUUAUUCAUAAUAAUGCAUGAAUGGAUAUAUAUAUAUUCUGCUUGGAUGACCCUUGGUCCCUAAGUUCAAUUCUGCAACUGAUAUUAAAAGUGGUUUUGCAUUAUGAGCUCAUUGACCCUUGACCCUAAUGUUUCAUAAGUUUUGUAAGGGAUGAAUGCUUCAAUGACCUUUGAGGAAAAUGCAUUAUGAAUGCUUACUUGAUACCCGGAAAAUGCUGGAUAAAUUACUUAAUGACUCUAGUCCCUGAAUGUGAAAAAGCUAGUUGUUGCCUUAUAAUUGUUACUCAAACAAUUGUCUCUAUUGGUGUCCUCUUUUCUAUUAAAAAAAUAUGAAUUUUUAUUCAUAAUAAUGCAUGAAGGGAUAUAUAUUAUGCUUUGAUGACCCUUAGUCCCUAAGUUCAAUUCUCCAACUGCAAUUAAAAGUGAUUUUGCAUUAUGAGCUUAAUGACCCUUGUCCCUAAUGUUUCACAAGUUUUGUAAGGGAUGAAUGCUUCAAUGACCUUUGAGGAAAAUGCACUAUGAAUUCUUUAUUCAUAAUGGAAACGUUGGAUGGUGGCUUUCAAAGCAAAGCAAUUUUAAUGUGNNNNNNNNNNNNNNNNNNNNNNNNNNNNNNNNNNNCCUUAAUUUGAAAGCUGGUUGUUGACCCUAGUCCUUAAAUGCUAUUAUCUAUUGUGCUUUGAUGGACCCUUAGUCCCUAAAUGCAAUUUUGCAACUACAAUAUGAAGUGAUUUUUCAAAGCAAAAGAAAGUGUUUCCUUGUAUAUGAUUGGCCCACUGAUAAAGGUUUUAAAGGAAUUCUCUAAGGAAGAAACGAAUCAACUGAAGCAAAGUACAAAGAAACCAACUCUUUGGAGUCCUCUAUGAUAUUUAUACUGUAUUGCAUCUCUUACACUGAUCAUCUGUAUUAUUAAAAUGCAGAACCUGAUCCAGCAUUGAAAAUAGUUCGUCGCCAGAUUUCACCUGUUAUAUACCUCAUAAUUACAAGGAGAGUAGCUAUCUUGUAUCAGAUUUUACUUUUACGGUAGGAAAAGCUCACUUAAAUAUAAAUUUAAGUUACGGUUUUAUAUAUAAAGUUUUCACAUGAGCUGUAAGUGCUAUGUUUUUUUAGUGGCUGUUACAGUGUUACAGUUAAAGUGUGUUAGUUUUAAAUACUUGUUUUUUGUUGAGGAAUUGAGUGC